GAGUUUGAUCAUGGCUCAGAAUCAACGCUGGCGGCGUGCCUCAGACAUGCAAGUCGUACGAUUAAAGCUCUCUUCGGAGAGUGUAUAGAGUGGCGCACGGGUGAGUAACACGUAAGUAAUCUACCUUCGAGUGGGGAAUAACAGUCGGAAACGACUGCUAAUACCGCAUAAUGCAGCGGCACCUAAUGGUGACAGUUGUUAAAGCAUUUAUGUGCUUGAAGAGGAGCUUGCGGCAGAUUAGCUAGUUGGUAAGGUAAUGGCUUACCAAGGCAACGAUCUGUAGCCGACCUGAGAGGGUGGUCGGUCACACUGACACUGAAUAACGGGUCAGACUCCUACGGGAGGCAGCAGUCGGGAAUUUUGGGCAAUGGGCGAAAGCCUGACCCAGCAACGCCGCGUGAAGGAUGAAGUAUUUCGGUAUGUAAACUUCGUAAAAAUGGGAAGAAUAAAUGACGGUACCAUUUGUAAGGUCCGGCUAACUACGUGCCAGCAGCCGCGGUAAUACGUAGGGACCAAGCGUUGUUCGGAUUUACUGGGCGUAAAGGGUGCGUAGGCGGCGUGUCAAGUCAGUUGUGAAAUCUCUGAGCUUAACUCAGAACGGUCAACUGAUACUGUCAUGCUAGAGUGCAGAAAGGGCAAUCGGAAUUCUUGGUGUAGCGG
rnacentral:rRNA from 1 species